rnacentral:tRNA from 1 species
GGCUCGGCGCGGGGCCGGGCCCACUGGACCACUUCGGCUGGUCCGUCUAGAUCUCCGGCGGCGCCGGUGGUGGUUCCGUGCUGCCCCGAGCUGCC